UAAAGAUACCCAAAUCCCUCCUUAGUCCUUGACUCCUUCCUACUCUCUCAUUCGAUUGAACCAAAGGAAAAAAAAUCAGACAUUCAUCUUCUUCCUCAAACCCCUCUUUUCCCAAACCCUAAUUCUCUCAUGGUUGAGCAAGAAAUAGAAAUUAGAAAUCAAAAUGUGCUAAUCCUCCCAAAUCUCUUCUCAGAUUCUUUAUGGAAGUCGAAAGAAAAACCAACAAAUUUCGAUUUACCCUUGCCUCUUUUGAAUACGACUAUGGCGACCAAUCUUUGAAGGCUUCCGAACCUCAGCAACUACAGCCUUUGAUUCUUCGUUCUUUUCCGUGAGUGAACACAUCAAUAACAUUACUUUGGGGAUCUUCGUUUCCAAAAUUUUCUUGUGAAAUCUAGCAAUCAAAAGCACAUUUUGGUAUUUAUCAAUCAUCGCUUCACCUCGGAGACAAUAUCAUCAAGGAACCUUUCAUAGUUGAUAGCUGUGCAUCGGGCGCGACUCCUUGAAGCGACAUUGUCGUUUUUUUAGAGAUCGGAACCGGUCGAGAACGAUGGGUUAGCGGUGAUGAUUAGAGUUCUAUGGAUGCUAUGUUGAGCCGAGCACAUGAGAAUUUGGUAGUUUUGUAUUAGUCUUUGGUAAAUUUAUAUUGGACUAGGUUGUAUUGGUUAUGUGGACUUUUAUAGUGACUUUUAUCGUUACUUUGUGUUUUAAUUAGAUGUUUGGGAUUGAGAAUUAGCUGAUACAACUAUGUUAUAGAACUGGUGACCCCUUUGCACAAGUUUUGGAAUUUAGAUUUAAGUUUCUUGAGAAAAUAAACCCUGUAAUGACCCUGUUUACUUAGUCAACGGUUAUAGGAGCUUAAAUCCAAAAGUACUUUGCUAUUUGGUGGAAUUUAUUUUAAAGAUUUGAUACCACUGGUCUUUUGCAAAAGUUCGUGCCUACUAUAUAGAAUAUCCCAAAUAUUUUAUAAUAGUUGUCUUCAAAUUUUGCCACUAGCUUUGUUUUAAUAUUUUUUAAUAUUUAUGGUCUUUAAUUUUUUUCCAUUAAAUUUAUUAUUAUUUAAAAGAUUAAAUUUUCUUAAUACCUGUAAAAUUUCCUAUUAUAAACUUCUUUAAGGGAUGAAAGAAGUAUAAUAUGGUUCCAUGUUGUUAAGCACUAAAGAGUAUCUAAUUAAAUUAACUAGACCAUCAAUUGUUCCACUUCCUUCAUAUCUUUUCAAACGUCCUAUUUGGU